rnacentral:lncRNA from 1 species
GCGGGGUGAAAGAAAAGUUGCACCAGAUGACUUAAACAGGCAAGAAGGACUUGGUUGAAGACUAUUGCAAUAGUCAACUUCCAAUACGAUAGCAGCUGGAGAUUUAUAGCCAACGGGCUGGGUGGACGAGUUAAAGGAUGGUAAAUUACUAAGAGGAAGUUCAGUAUCAAGGGUGAGGGGAUUCUUGCUGAACUGGCUUAGCUGGAUUCUUGCCGAAGUGGGGUUCGCAGGUCAUGGAGGAGGCCUGGCCAAACAAAAAGGGCUCAGAGGAGCCUUACUAAAGCUUGAUCUAGGGAGUCCUUGUCAGGAGAGACUCCUGGAAGGCUCUGAUGGGAGGCUUAGCUUAAAGUGAUACUUUUGUUGGUGCCAGGGUCCGCGCCACGGGAAUCAGGAUGGCCGGGCAGUACCUUUCGGCAACCUGUCGCUCCUACACUUCCCAGAAGCCUCUAGGCCCAUGGCUGUCUCCCGCGAUAACGAAAUUGUCUUUUGCGGAGUGGGCGGGGUCUUCCCGCGGGUCUGAGCGAACGGCCUCCGGUCUUUGUGAGAGAACUGGGGUCAGGUUGUUUGGAUUCCAGUGGAGCGGAGCUGACCCGCCCCGAGCAGGCGUGGCGG